UUUCCAGACUCCUACGGGAGGCAGCAGUGGGGAAUAUUGCACAAUGGGGGAAACCCUGAUGCAGCGACGCCGCGUGAGUGAAGAAGUAUUUCGGUAUGUAAAGCUCUAUCAGCAGGGAAGAAAAUGACGGUACCUGACUAAGAAGCCCCGGCUAACUCCGUGCCAGCAGCCGCGGUAAUACGGAGGAUGCGAGCGUUAUCCGGAUUUAUUGGGUUUAAAGGGUGCGUAGGCGGAAUGCCAAGUCAGCGGUAAAAUCGGGGGGCUCAACCUCGCUCCGCCGUUGAAACUGGCGUUCUUGAGUGGGCGAGAAGUAUGCGGAAUGCGUGGUGUAGCGGUGAAAUGCAUAGAUAUCACGCAGAACCCCGAUUGCGAAGGCAGCGUACCGGCGCCCAACUGACGCUGAAGCACGAAAGCGUGGGUAUCGAACAGGAUUAGAUACCCUUGUA
rnacentral:rRNA from 1 species